CCUACGGGUGGCAGCAGUGGGGAAUAUUGGGCAAUGGAGGCAACUCUGACCCAGCAAUGCCGCGUGAGUGAUGAAGGUAAUUUUAUUGUAAAGCUCUUUUCUUUGGAACGAAUAAAUGACGGUACCAAAGUAAUAAGCCCCGGCUAACUACGUGGCAGCAGCCGCGGCCAUACGUAGGGGGCCAGCGUUGUUCGGAAUGACUGGGGGUAAAGGGUGUGUAGGUGGUUUGGUAAGUUAAAUGUGUAAUUCCCAGGGCUUAACUCGGGUGCUGCAUCUAAAACUGUUAGACUUGAGUACUGGAGAGGAAAGUGGAAUUCCUAGUGUAGCGGUGGAAUGCGUAGAUAUUAGGAAGAACAUCAAUGGCGAAGGCGGCUAUCUGGACAACCACUGACACUGAGGCACGAAAGCGUGGGGAGCAAACAGGAUUAGAUACCCCGGUAGUC
rnacentral:rRNA from 1 species